AAAAGAAAAAACACCCAGUCCACCUUAUUCCCCCGCACAUAGCCACCGACACCCACGCACCACCCCCCUUCGCCCCCAUAUCCGGUUGCUGCCUCUUCCCCAGAAUCGGUCCUCGCCUUCGCCCUCGGAUCUGGCCGAGACCGAUCUCGCCGCCGCCCUGGAUCCGGCCGUCCGGCCUCCUCCAUCCCCCGUCCGCCCUGGAUUCGCACUCGGAUCUGGCUGUCCGCCCUGGAUCCCGUCGCCGCCUGCCGCCAACAAGCGUCGGCGCGUGACCCUGCCGGCCACCGGCCGCUUCCGCGCCUCCGCUGCCACCUCGGAUGCCCCGGCCUCACCCAACUCCUCUUUCGGCGACGACCCCUGCCACGCGCGCCUUCUUGCUGCUCUGCCCCAGCCACGAGCACCAGGUCCGGCCGUCCCUUCUUUCCCGGAGCAUCGUCGACCCCGCCAUCUUCCCCAGAGCGCCCCUGCCCACCGCCCUCGCCCCACGGGUCAAGUGGCCCUGCCGCCGGUCUCCUCCUGCAACCCAACCGGUGGCCACCUCCUGGGACCAAGCCGAUGGUCUCCUCCUGCUAACCCAGCGUCGGCCUCCCGAGGCAGCCCUACAGCCAGGCUUCUCCCGCGGCCACGCGUCAUGCGAAUCUCGUAGACCUGCCGGCGGUCUUCUCCCAAGGUUGCACACCGUCGUCCUCCCGCUGCCCCUGAUCCACCGUCGGCCUUCUCCCACAGCUUCUCCCGUGCCCUCUUCGCCACUGCUAGUGCUGGCUUCACAUUGCACAGCAGGUCAACUCGAGUACGUGGGUAAGUCCAUCUGCGGCAGCUGUAGGCGUAAACUGCAAGAACUGCUCUCACUCUCAAAAAACAAAAACAAAAAGCGGUCGAUGCCCCUAUCUCUGCUUGCUGGUUCCUACCUCCACUACACGGACUAUAGAAAGAUAAAAAAAAGUUUGAUGCUUACUUAUUUUUCUACAGCGUCAGAUUCAAAAAGUCCAGCUUCGCCCCCGGAUGAAGUUCAGUUAUCACUGAAGCUUAUGUUAUUCACAAUCGCGUGGCUUUAGAACAUCCAUGCAUGUCGAGUAAUAUUCUUCGAUUACAAUAGCAGCUCCAGUGUGGCAGUAGGCGAUGGUACAAACUGAAGUCGGGAAUGAGUGUUGCUGGGUACAUCUGGCAGCAGAUAUUCUGAAGUUUGUUGGUGAAUAACAAAUGCCACAACAUCAGUUGAUGUCAUUGGGGUCGUGCGGGCAAGCAACAUUCUCCACCUGGGUGUACUCUCUGUCUCUUUCUCUUUGCAGUUCUAAUCUAUUUGUACAUUCUAUCUCACGUACCUGUCAUAGUAGCAUACUAGUAGUGU
rnacentral:rRNA from 1 species